GACGAACGCUGGCGGCGUGCUUAACACAUGCAAGUGGAGCGACGAACCGGGCUUCGGCCCGGGGCAAAGCCGCGAACGGGUGAGUAUCACGUGGGUAACCUGCCCCGAUGACCGGGAUAACCCGAGGAAACUCGGGCUAAUACCGGAUGUGCUCCCAAUCCACCAGGGUUGGGAACAAAGGAAGCUUCGGCCUCCGCAUUGGGAUGGGCCCGCGGCCCAUUAGCUUGUUGGUGAGGUAACGGCUCACCAAGGCGACGAUGGGUAGCUGGUCUGAGAGGAAGAUCAGCCGAACGGGGACUGAGACACGGCCCAGACUCCUACGGGAGGCAGCAGUGGGGAGUCUUGCGCAAUGCGCGAAAGCGUGACGCAGCAACGCCGCGUGAGGGAAGAAGGCCUUCGGGUUGUAAACCUCUUUCAGGAGGGACGAAGGUUCAGGCGCGAACAGCGUCCUGGACUGACGGUACCUCCAGAAGAAGCCCCGGCUAACUACGUGCCAGCAGCCGCCGUAACAC
rnacentral:rRNA from 1 species